GCCGGAAUAGCUCANUCGGUANAGCAGAGGACUGAAAAUCCUCGUGUCAC
rnacentral:tRNA from 1 species